UAAGCGGAGGAAAAGAAACCAACAGGGAUUGCCCUAGUAACGGCGAGUGAAGCGGCAACAGCUCAAAAUUUGAAAGAUAGCCUUCGGGUUCGCAUUGUAAUUUGUAGAGGAUGCUUUGGGUAAAACGCCAGUAUAAGUUCCUUGGAACAGGACGUCAUAGAGGGUGAGAAUCCCGUAUGUGACUGGAAAUGUUAACCUAUGUAAAGCUCCUUCGACGAGUCGAGUUGUUUGGGAAUGCAGCUCUAAAUGGGAGGUAAAUUUCUUCUAAAGCUAAAUAUUGGCGAGAGACCGAUAGCGCACAAGUAGAGUGAUCGAAAGAUGAAAAGCACUUUGGAAAGAGAGUUAAAAAGCACGUGAAAUUGUUGAAAGGGAAGCGCUUGCAAUCAGACUUGUUUAAACUGUUCGGCCGGUCUUCUGACCGGUUUACUCAGUUUGGACAGGCCAGCAUCAGUUUCGGCGGCCGGAUAAAGGCAUUGGGAAUGUGGCCUUCACUUCGGUGGAGGUGUUAUAGCCCAGUGUGUAAUACGGCCAGCCGGGACUGAGGUCCGCG
rnacentral:rRNA from 1 species